AAGUGGAACCGGAGCCCGGGCGCGGGCGCCCACGUUCCAUUCCCGGGAAGGCCUGGGAAGGGAGGGAAUCGCUCACCCGCCAGCCCGCCUGCAGGGAAAGGGCUCCUGGAGCUGUCGAUGCCUGCCCGACGCUGAGAUAACUCUUGGGUCCCAGUUAUCCACCAGCCACUUCUGCCUCGAUUCACCAAAGGGCAGGGAAAGAACCUUUUGGUGAGAUGGUGUGAAUUAGCGACAUCCAGCCUGAGCUGAAGUCUCCAGCGGGUCAAAGAAAUCUUUCCAUUUGCAAACUACCAAGGCUGACUUGCUGUGCAUUUGGCGGGCCUCCUGCCCCUGAUUCUGCUGGUUUGGAGAUGCUUUCUCGCUCUUUGGUUGGCUUCUGUCUCCACACAUUGUGGGGAUCCCAGGGAUUCGUCAUAGGACUCUCGGAUCGCUGGUGCCUCCACUGUGAUCUCCGGUCUCCCUGCGGCCAGCACUGACUUCUAGCAACAGAAUCCUGCAUGAGGGCCUAGGCACAGAACUUUAUUUCCACUCUUCUGAACACAUCUAAUGUGAUGCUCUGCAAUUGUCUGAAAUUUAUCCUACCCUAAGUCAUUAUCUUGUCCCCUUCUCUGGAACCUGCUUCACUUCCCGUAUCCCAAGGUGAGGUUUGGGGCUUCGCUGUCCUCCUCACUUCCCAGGCCACUCUUCUUCAUGGAAGCCUCGCGGUUUACCCUCCACCGCCUACACCUUAUCUUCUUGUUACUUUUGCCCCACAGAUAUCACCCUGAUAUGAUCUCUGUUUCUCACUCCUGCUGGCUUGAUCUUAUGUCUUGCAUUAUUCCGCAUUAGAACAAUUGAUCCCUGUCAACUCCCAUCUCUAUUCUCCACGUCGGUGUCCUCACUAUUUCCAGGUUAUAUUGCAGAACCAAAGCUGCUUAUUUGUCACGUUGAUGCUUAGACACCUCUGUGGGCUUCUGGCAGCUGAAAGGAUAAAAUUUAAUUUCUGUGGUUUGGUUUAGUAAAUUCUCAUAAUCUGCUCCUGUAUUUGUUUGUUAGGGCUGCCAUAACAAAGUACCAGAGACUGGGUGGCUUAACAGAAAUUUAUUUGCUCACCUUGUCUCUACAAAAAAUACAAAAAUUAGCCAGGCUUUGCGGUGUGUGCCUUUGGUCCCAGCUAUUAGGGACGCUGAGGUGGGAGGAUCGCUUGAGCCCGGGAGGCAGAGGAUGUAGUGAGCCAAGAUCGGGCCACUGCACUCCAAGUGACAGAGUGAGACUCUGUCUCAUAAAGAAAGAAAGAGAGAGAGAGAAGAAAGAAAAAAAGAAGGAAGGAAGGAAAAA
rnacentral:lncRNA from 1 species